rnacentral:rRNA from 1 species
AAGCGCUUGCAACCAGACUUGUCCGCGGUGUUCCGCCGGUCUUCUGACCGGUCUACUCGCCGCGGGCAGGCCAUCAUCGUCUGGGGCCGCCGGAGAAACCGUCAGGAAUGUAGCUCCCUCGGGAGUGUUAUAGCCUGGCGACAUGCGGCGCGCCCCGGGCGAGGUCCGCGCACUGCAAGGAUGAUGGCGUAAUGGUUGUCAGCGG